rnacentral:rRNA from 1 species
ACAUGCAAGUCGAACGAAGCACUUUUACAGAUUUCUUCGGAAUGAAGUUUUAGUGACUGAGUGGCGGACGGGUGAGUAACGCGUGGGUAAACCUGGCCUCACACAGGGGGGAUAACAGUUGGAAACGACUGCUAAUACCGCAUAAGCGCACAGUACCGCAUGGUACAGAGCGAAAAAAACUCCGGUGGUAUAGGAUGGGCCCGCGUCUGAUUAGUUAGUUGGCGGUGUAAACGGCCCACCAAGGCGACGAUCAGUAGCCGGCCUGAGAGGGUGAACGGCCACAUUGGGACUGAGACACGGCCCAAACUCCUACGGGAGGCAGCAGUGGGGAAUAUUGCACAAUGGGGGAAACCCUGAUGCAGCGACGCCGCGUGAGUGAUGAAGUAUUUCGGUAUGUAAAACCUCUAUCAGCAGGGAAGAUAAUGACGGUACCUGACUAAGAAGCACCGGCUAAAUACGUG